rnacentral:rRNA from 1 species
AGAGUUUGAUCCUGGCUCAGGAUGAACGCUAGCUACAGGCUUAACACAUGCAAGUCGAGGGGCAGCAUGAAUCAAGCUUGCUUGAUUUGAUGGCGACCGGCGCACGGGUGCGUAACACGUAUCCAAUCUACCCAUGGCUCAGGGAUAGCCUUUCGAAAGAAAGAUUAAUACCUGAUGGUUUCAUGAGCCCGCAUGGACUUAUGAAUAAAGAUUUAUCGGCGAUGGAUGAGGAUGCGUCCGAUUAGAUAGUAGGCGGGGUAACGGCCCACCUAGUCGACGAUCGGUAGGGGCUCUGAGAGGAGGAUCCCCCACAUUGGAACUGAGCCAUGAUCAAACUC